rnacentral:rRNA from 1 species
GGCUAGUCGGCGGACGGGUGGAGUAACGCGUGAAGCAACCUGCCUCUGUCGAGUGGAAUAACACAGGGAAACUUGUGCUAAUACCGCAUGACGAAGCGAAGCCGCAUGACUUUGCUUCCAAAGAGUUUAUCGCACAGAGAUGGGCUCGCGUCCGAUUAGGCAGUUGGUGAGGUAACGGCUCACCAAACCGACGAUCGGUAGCCGGACUGAGAGGUUGAACGGCCACAUUGGAACUGAGAUACGGUCCAGACUCCUACGGGAGGCAGCAGUGGGGAAUAUUGGGCAAUGGGCGCCAAGCCUGACCCAGCGACGCCGCGUGAGGGAAGAAGGUCUUCGGAUUGUAAACCUCUUUGACAGGGGACGAAGUAAGUGACGGUACCCUGAAAACAAGCCACGGCUAACUACGUGCCAGCCGCUGC